rnacentral:rRNA from 1 species
AGAGUUUGAUCAUGGCUCAGGAUGAACGCUGGCGGUCUGCUUAACACAUGCAAGUCGAACGGACUCUUCGGAGUUAGUGGCGGACGGGUGAGUAACGCGUGAGAAUCUGCCUCUAGAACGGGGACAACAGAGGGAAACUUCUGCUAAUCCCGGAUGAGCCGAAAGGUCAAAGAUUUAUCGUCUAGAGAUGAGCUCGCGUCUGAUUAGCUAGUUGGUAAGGUAAAGGCUUACCAAGGCAACGAUCAGUAGCUGGUCUGAGAGGAUGAUCAGCCACACUGGGACUGAGACACGGCCCAGACUCCUACGGGAGGCAGCAGUGGGGAAUUUUCCGCAAUGGGCGCAAGCCUGACGGAGCAAGACCGCGUGGGGGAGGAAAGCCUUUGGGUUGUAAACCCCUUUUCUCAGGGAAGAAGAAAGUGACGGUACCUGAGGAAUCAGCCCCGGCUAACUCCGUGCCAGCAGCCGCGGUAAUACGGAGGAGGCAAGCGUUAUCCGGAAUGAUUGGGCGUAAAGCGUUCGUAGGUGGCAAUUCAAGUCUGCUGUCAAAGACAGUAGCUCAACUACUGCAAGGCAGUGGAAACUGAAUAGCUAGAGUGCGGUAGGGGCAGAGGGAAUUCCCGGUGUAGCGGUGAAAUGCGUAGAGAUCGGGAAGAACACCGGUGGCGAAAGCGCUCUGCUGGGCCGCAACUGACACUGAGGGACGAAAGCUAGGGGAGCGAAUGGGAUUAGAUACCCCAGUAGUCCUAGCUGUAAACGAUGGAAACUAGGUGUUGCCUGUAUCGACCCAGGCAGUGCCGUAGCUAACGCGUAAGUUACCGCAUGGAUACGAAGGGUCCCCGCACAAGCGGUGGAGUAUGUGGUUUAAUUCGAUGCAACGCGAAGAACCUUACCAGGGCUUGACAUGUCCGGAAUUCUGGGGAAACUCGGAAGUGCCUUCGGGAACCGGAACACAGGUGGUGCAUGGCUGUCGUCAGCUCGUGUCGUGAGAUGUUGGGUUAAGUCCCGCAACGAGCGCAACCCUCGUUUUUAGUUGCCAUCAUUAAGUUGGGCACUCUAGAGAGACUGCCGGUGACAAACCGGAGGAAGGUGGGGAUGACGUCAAGUCAUCAUGCCCCUUACGUCCUGGGCUACACACGUACUACAAUGGUAAGGACAAAGGGCAGCCACUUCGCGAGGAGGAGCUAAUCCCGUGAACCUUGCCUCAGUUCAGAUUGCAGGCUGCAACUCGCCUGCAUGAAGGAGGAAUCGCUAGUAAUCGCAGGUCAGCAUACUGCGGUGAAUCCGUUCCCGGGCCUUGUACACACCGCCCGUCACACCAUGGAAGUUAGCCAUGCCCGAAGUCAUUACUCUAACCUUUCGAGGAGGAGGGUGCCGAAGGCAGGGCUGAUGACUGGGGUGAAGUCGUAACAAGGUAACC